CCUACGGGUGGCAGCAGUGGGGAAUAUUGCACAAUGGGCGCAAGCCUGAUGCAGCCAUGCCGCGUGUGUGAAGAAGGCCUUCGGGUUGUAAAGCACUUUCAGCGGGGAGGAAGGCGGUGAGGUUAAUAACCUCAUCGAUUGACGUUACCCGCAGAGGAAGCACCGGCUAACUCCGUGCCAGCAGCCGCGGUAAUACGGAGGGUGCAAGCGUUAAUCGGAAUUACUGGGCGUAAAGCGCACGCAGGCGGUCUGUCAAGUCGGAUGUGAAAUCCCCGGGCUCAACCUGGGAACUGCAUUCGAAACUGGCAGGCUAGAGUCUUGUAGAGGGGGGUAGAAUUCCAGGUGUAGCAGUGAAAUGCGUAGAGAUCUGGAGGAAUACCGGUGGCGAAGGUGGCCCCCUGGACAAAGACUGACGCUCAGGUGCGAAAGCGUGGGGAGCAAACAGGAUUAGAUACCCGUGUAGUC
rnacentral:rRNA from 1 species